UACGUAGGGGGCAAGCGUUGUCCGGAUUUAUUGGGCGUAAAGCGCUCGCAGGCGGCCUGAUGCGUCGUGCGUGAAACACCCCGGCUCAACUGGGGGGGGUCGUGCGAUACGGUCAGGCUCGAGGCCAGUAGGGGGACGCGGAAUUCCGGGUGUAGUGGUGGAAUGCGUAGAGAUCCGGAGGAACACCAGCGGCGAAGGCGGCGUCCUGGACUGGUACUGACGCUGAGGAGCGAAAGCGUGGGGAGCGAACAGG
rnacentral:rRNA from 1 species